UUUCCGUAGGUGAACCUGCGGAAGGAUCAUUAACGAGUUAGGGUCUUCUAGGCCCGACCUCCCAACCCUUUGUUUACUGAACCAUUGUUGCCUCGGUGGGUCCGUCUUGCGACCGCCGGGGGAUCGCCGCGAGGCGCCCCCUGGCCAGCGCCCACCGAUAGCCCAACCUUUAAAACCCUUUGUGAAUCGUGUCUUAUGUCUAAAUUUAUGAUUAAACAAUCAAAACAAAACUUUCAACAACGGAUCUCUUGGUUCUG
rnacentral:misc_RNA from 1 species